UGGCUCAGUUGGUAGAGCAUGGUGUUUGUAAUGCUAGGGUUGUGGGUUAGAUUCCCAC
rnacentral:tRNA from 1 species